rnacentral:rRNA from 2 species
UGGGCGUAAGCGCGCGCAGGCGGUUUCUUAAGUCUGAUGUGAAAGCCCACGGCUCAACCGUGGAGGGUCAUUGGAAACUGGGGAACUUGAGUGCAGAAGAGAAAAGCGGAAUUCCACGUGUAGCGGUGAAAUGCGUAGAGAUGUGGAGGAACACCAGUGGCGAAGGCGGCUUUUUGGUCUGUAACUGACGCUGAGGCGCGAAAGCGUGGGGAGCAAACAGGAUUAGAUACCCUGGUAGUCCACGCCGUAAACGAUGAGUGCUAAGUGUUAGAGGGUUUCCGCCCUUUAUUGCUGCAGCUAACGCAUUAAGCACUCCGCCUGGGGAGUACGGUCGCAAGACUGAAACUCAAAGGAAUUGACGGGGGCCCGCACAAGCGGUGGAGCAUGUGGUUUAAUUCUUAGCAACGCGAAGAACCUUACCAGGUCUUGAGGGGCGCUGACAACUCUAAAGAUAGAGCGUUCCCCUUCGGAGGACAGAGUGACAGGUGGUGCAUGGUUGUCGUCAGCUCGUGUCGUG